rnacentral:rRNA from 1 species
UGGGUGAUCUGCCCUCAGCUCUGGGAUAAGCCUGGGAAACUGGGUCUAAUACUGGAUAUUCACUGCUUAUCGCAUGGUGGGUGGUGGAAAGUUUUUUCGGCUGGGGAUGGGCCCGCGGCCUAUCAGCUUGUUGGUGGGGUGAUGGCCUACCAAGGCGACGACGGGUAGCCGGCCUGAGAGGGCGUCCGGCCACACUGGGACUGAGAUACGGCCCAGACUCCUACGGGAG